CCUUUACUAUAGCUUCGCCUUGGCGUUAGCGACCGUAUGUGUAGGAUAGGUGGGGAGGCUAUGAAAACCGGGGGCCGCCAGCUCUGGUGGAGCCAUCCCUUGGAAAUACCACCCUUACUGUCGUUGACGUCUAACCGAGGGGCCGUUAUCCGGUCCCCGGGGACAUGGCGUGGUGGGUAGUUUGACUGGGGGCGGUCGCCUCCUAAAGUGUAACGGAGGCGCGCGGAUGGUGGGCUCAGACCGGUCGGAAAUCGGUCGUCGAGUGGCAAUGGCAUAAGCCCGCCUGACUGCGAGACUGACAAGUCGAGCAGAGACGAAAGUCGGGCCAUAGUGGAUCCGGUGGUCCCCGCGUGGGAAGGGCCCAUCCGCUCAACGGAUAAAAAGGUA
rnacentral:rRNA from 1 species